AGAUUGAACGCUGGCGGCAUGCCUUACACAUGCAAGUCGAACGGCAGCACGGGGGCAACCCUGGUGGCGAGUGGCGAACGGGUGAGUAAUACAUCGGAACGUGUCCUGUAGUGGGGGAUAGCCCGGCGAAAGCCGGAUUAAUACCGCAUACGACCUAAGGGAGAAAGCGGGGGAUCUUCGGACCUCGCGCUAUAGGGGCGGCCGAUGGCAGAUUAGCUAGUUGGUGGGGUAAAGGCCUACCAAGGCGACGAUCUGUAGCUGGUCUGAGAGGACGACCAGCCACACUGGGACUGAGACACGGCCCAGACUCCUACGGGAGGCAGCAGUGGGGAAUUUUGGACAAUGGGCGAAAGCCUGAUCCAGCAAUGCCGCGUGAGUGAAGAAGGCCUUCGGGUUGUAAAGCUCUUUUGUCAGGGAAGAAAAGGCUGUGGCUAAUAUCCACGGCUCAUGACGGUACCUGAAGAAUAAGCACCGGCUAACUACGUGCCAGCAGCCGCGGUAAUACGUAGGGUGCAAGCGUUAAUCGGAAUUACUGGGCGUAAAGCGUGCGCAGGCGGUUCGGAAAGAAAGAUGUGAAAUCCCAGAGCUUAACUUUGGAACUGCAUUUUUAACUACCGGGCUGAGUGUGUCAGAGGGAGGUGGAAUUCCGCGUGUAGCAGUGAAAUGCGUAGAUAUGCGGAGGAACACCGAUGGCGAAGGCAAUCCCCUGGACCUGUACUGACGCUCAUGCACGAAAGCGUGGGGAGCAAACAGGAUUAGAUACCCUGGUAGUCCACGCCCUAAACGAUGUCAACUGGUUGUUGGACGGCUUGCUGUUCAGUAACGAAGCUAACGCGUGAAGU
rnacentral:rRNA from 1 species